rnacentral:tRNA from 4 species
GGGGAGGUGGCGGAGCGGUCAAUCGCAGCAGACUGUAAAUCUGCCGCCCUAGUGGCUACGGAGGUUCGAACCCUCCCCUCCCCACCA